AGCGAACGCUGGCGGCAGGCUUAACACAUGCAAGUCGAGCGGGCACUUUCGGGUGUCAGCGGCGGACGGGUGAGUAACGCGUGGGAACGUGCCCUCUGGUUCGGAAUAACUCAGGGAAACUUGAGCUAAUACCGGAUACGCCCUUUUGGGGAAAGGCUUGCUGCCGGAGGAUCGGCCCGCGUCUGAUUAGCUAGUUGGUGAGGUAACGGCUCACCAAGGCGACGAUCAGUAGCUGGUCUGAGAGGAUGAUCAGCCACACUGGGACUGAGACACGGCCCAGACUCCUACGGGAGGCAGCAGUGGGGAAUAUUGGACAAUGGGCGCAAGCCUGAUCCAGCCAUGCCGCGUGAGUGAUGAAGGCCUUAGGGUUGUAAAGCUCUUUUAUCCGGGACGAUAAUGACGGUACCGGAGUAAUAAGCCCCGGCUAACCUCGUG
rnacentral:rRNA from 1 species